rnacentral:rRNA from 1 species
AGCGAACGCCGGCGGCAGGCCUAACACAUGCAAGUCGAACGAAGCCUUCGGGCUUAGUGGCGGACGGGUGAGUAACACGUGGGAACGUACCUUUUGGUUCGGAACAACUCAGGGAAACUUGAGCUAAUACCGGAUGAGCCCUUAGGGGGAAAGAUUUAUCGCCGAAAGAGCGGCCCGCGUUAGAUUAGCUAGUUGGUGAGGUAAAGGCUCACCAAGGCAACGAUCUAUAGCUGGUCUGAGGGGAUGAUCAGCCACACUGGGACUGAGACACGGCCCAGACUCCUACGGGAGGCAGCAGUGGGGAAUCUUGCGCAAUGGGCGAAAGCCUGACGCAGCCAUGCCGCGUGAAUGAUGAAGGUCUUAGGAUUGUAAAAUUCUUUUACCAGGGACGAUAAUGACGGUACCUGGAGAAAAAGCCCCGGCUAACUUCGUGCCAGCCGCCGCCGUAAUAC